rnacentral:rRNA from 1 species
UUGAACGCUGGCGGCAUGCUUUACACAUGCAAGUCGAACGGCAGCGGGGGCUUCGGCCUGCCGGCGAGUGGCGAACGGGUGAGUAAUGCAUUGGAACGUACCCAGUCGUGGGGGAUAACUACGCGAAAGCGUAGCUAAUACCGCAUACGCCCUGAGGGGGAAAGCGGGGGACCUUCGGGCCCCGCGCGAUUGGAGCGGCUGAUGUCGGAUUAGCUAGUUGGUGGGGUAAAGGCCUACCAAGGCGACGAUCCGUAGCUGGUCUGAGAGAACGACCAGCCACACUGGGACUGAGACACGGCCCAGACUCCUACGGGAGGCAGCAGUGGGGAAUUUUGGACAAUGGGGGCAACCCUGAUCCAGCCAUGCCGCGUGAGUGAAGAAGGCCUUCGGGUUGUAAAGCUCUUUCGGCCGGAACGAAAUCGGCAGUGUGAAUAACGCUGCUGGAUGACGGUACUGGAAGAAGAAGCACCGGCUAACUACGU